GCAGUAGCCGCGGGAAUACGUAGGGUGCAAGCGUUAAUCGGAAUUACUGGGCGUAAAGCGUGCGCAGGCGGUUUUGUAAGACAGAGGUGAAAUCCCCGGGCUCAACCUGGGAACUGCCUUUGUGACUGCAAGGCUAGAGUACGGCAGAGGGGGAUGGAAUUCCGCGUGUAGCAGUGAAAUGCGUAGAUAUGCGGAGGAACACCGAUGGCGAAGGCAAUCCCCUGGGCCUGUACUGACGCUCAUGCACGAAAGCGUGGGGAGCAAACAGGAUUAGAUACCCCCGUAGUCCCUGUCUCUUAUAC
rnacentral:rRNA from 1 species